GCUUGUCUCAAAGAUUAAGCCAUGCAUGUCUUAGUGUAAAUAACUCUUAUGAAACUGCGAAUGGCUCAUUAAAUCAGUUAUCAAAUACGUGAUGGUCGCCUACUACAUGGAUAACCGUAGUAAUUCUAGAGCUAAUACAUGCAUCAACUCCCAACUGCUUGUCGGACGGGAGGUAUUUAUUAGAUGGAAACCAAUGCGGGGCAACCCGGUAUUGUGGUGAAUCAUGAUAACUGUGCGGAUCGCAUGCCCUCGCGGCGGCGAUGAAUCAUUCAAGUUUCUGCCCUAUCAGCUUUGGAUGGUAGGGUAUUGGCCUACCAUGGCUUUGACGGGUAACGGAGAAUUGGGGUUCGAUUCCGGAGAGGGAGCCUGAGAGAUGGCUACCACAUCCAAGGAAGGCAGCAGG
rnacentral:rRNA from 1 species